GGGGAUAUAGCUCAGUUGGUAAAGUGCUUGUCUUGCACACAUAAGGCCCUGGGUUCAAUCCCCAGUACCACCA